CGGACGGGUGAGUAACACGUAGAGAACCUACCUUACACAGGGGGACAACGGCUGGAAACGGCUGCUAAUACCGCAUAAGCACCCAGUUUCGCAUGAAACAGAGUGAGAAGAGUAAAUCGGUGUAAGAUGGCUCUGCGUCUGAUUAGCUAGUUGGUGGGGUAAAGGCUCACCAAGGCGACGAUCAGUAGCCGACCUGAGAGGGUGACCGGCCACAUUGGGACUGAGACACGGCCCAAACUCCUACGGAAGGCAGCAG
rnacentral:rRNA from 1 species